GGAAAAUCGAUACUGGAAAAACUCUAACUCGGUGGCCAGUUUUUGUUGACCACUUCAUAGCGAGAAAGCGUUGCCGCAGGCAACGACCCGAAGGGCGAGGCGCACCGCGCUGAGUAAUCCUUCCCCCACCACCA
rnacentral:sRNA from 7 species